rnacentral:rRNA from 1 species
AGUGAACGCUGGCGGUAGGCCUAACACAUGCAAGUCGAACGGCCGCACAGUAAGGGCUUGCUCUUACGGGUGGCGAGUGGCGGACGGGUGAGGAAUACAUCGGAUUCUACUUUUUCGUGGGGGAUAACGUAGGGAAACUUACGCUAAUACCGCAUACGUCCUACGGGUGAAAGCAGGGGAUCUUCGGACCUUUCGCGAUGGAAUGAGCCGAUGUCGGAUUAGCUAGUUGGCGGGGUAAAGGCCCACCAAGGCGACGAUCCGUAGCUGGUCUGAGAGGAUGAUCAGCCACACUGGAACUGAGACACGGUCCAGACUCCUACGGGAGGCAGCAGUGGGGAAUAUUGGACAAUGGGCGCAAGCCUGAUCCAGCCAUACCGCGUGGGUGAAGAAGGCCUUCGGGUUGUAAAGCCCUUUUGUUGGGAAAGAAAAGCAGCAGGUUAAUACCCCGCUGUUCUGACGGUACCCAAAGAAUAAGCACCGGCUAACUUCGUG